UGCAAGUCGAACGAAGUAGCAAUACUUAGUGGCAGACGGGUGAGUAACAUGUAGGUAUCUACCCUUUGGCCUGGAAUAACACGAGGAAACUUGUGCUAAUACCGGAUAAGUCCUUACGGAGAAAGCUUUAUGCACCAUUGGAUGAGCCUGCACUUGAUUAGUUUGUUGGUGGGGUAAUGGCCUACCAAGACUUUGAUCAAUAGCUGAUUUGAGAGGAUGAUCAGCCACAUUGGGACUGAGACACGGCCCAAACUCCUACGGGAGGCAGCAGUGGGGAAUCUUGCACAAUGGAGGAAACUCUGAUGCAGCGAUGCCGCGUGAGUGAAGAAGGCCCUUGGGUUGUAAAGCUCUUUCGUCGGGGAAGAAAAUGACUGUACCCGUAUAAGAAGGUCCGGCUAACUUCGUGCCAGCAGCCGCGGUAAUACGAAGGGACCUAGCGUA
rnacentral:rRNA from 1 species